rnacentral:rRNA from 1 species
AUUGAACGCUGGCGGCAGGCCUAACACAUGCAAGUCGAACGAGUGGCGGACGGGUGAGUAAUGUCUGGGAAACUGCCUGAUGGCGGGGGAUAAUUACUGGAAACGGUAGCUAAUACCGCAUACCAUCAGAUGUGCCCAGAUGGGAUUAGCUAGUUGGUGGGGUAACGGCUCACCAAGUCGACGAUCCCUAGCUGGUCUGAGAGGAUGACCAGCCACCCUGAAACUGAGACACGUUCCAGACUCCUACGGGAGGCAGCAGUGGGGAAUAUUGCACAAUGGGCGCAAGCCUGAUACCGCCAUGCCUCGUGUAUGAAGAAGGCCUUCGGGUUGUAAAGUUCUUUCAGCUGGGAGGCGUUACCCGCAGAAGAAGCACCGGCUAACUCCGUGCCAGCAGCCGCGGUAAUUC